rnacentral:rRNA from 1 species
CAAUAGCGUAUAUUUAAGUUGUUGCAGUUAAAAAGCUCGUAGUUGGAUUUCGGUUGAGAACGGCCGGUCCGCCGUUUGGUGUGCACUGGCUGGUUUCAACUUCCUGUAGAGGACGUGCUCUGGCUUCACGGCUGGACGCGGAGUCUACGUGGUUACUUUGAAAAAAUUAGAGUGUUCAAAGCGGGCUUACGCUUGAAUAUUUCAGCAUGGAAUAACACUAUAGGACUCCUGUCCUAUUUCGUUGGUCUCGGGACGGGAGUAAUGAUUAAGAGGAACAGUUGGGGGCAUUCGUAUUUCAUUGUCAGAGGUGAAAUUCUUGGAUUUAUGAAAGACGAACUUCUGCGAAAGCAUUUGCCAAGGAUGUUUUCAUUGA